GAUGAAGAACGUAGCGAAAUGCGAUAAGUAGUGUGAAUUGCAGAAUUCAGUGAAUCAUCGAAUCUUUGAACGCACAUUGCGCUCCUUGGUAUUCCGAGGAGCAUGCCUGUUUGAGUGUCAUUAAUAUAUCAACCUUCUCUUUUUUGAGUUGUUUGGAUGUGGGGGUUUGCUGGCCUCUUAAAUGAUUCAGCUCCCCUGAAAUGCAUUAGCAGAACAACCUGUUCAUUGGCGUGAUAAUUAUCUAUGCUAUUGAAUGUGAGGGCAGUUCAGCUUUCUAACCGUCCUUGGACAAUUCAUCAUUAAUGUGACCUCAAAUCAGGUAGGACUACCCGCUGAACUUAAGCAUAUCAAUAAGCGGAGGA
rnacentral:misc_RNA from 1 species